CCGGUCUGAACUCAGAUCAUAUUGUAAUAAGGUUUUAAUUGAAUGCUAAAAGAAUGGAAUUACAGGGAAAAGUUUUUUUAAAUUUAAUAAUUGAAGUUAUUUUAAUUUGUGAAGAAACAAUUAUAUAAAUUAAAGACAAGAAGACCCUAAGAAUUUAAGAAUUUUUAUUAAUAUAUUAUAUAUAUAUAUAUAAAUAAAAUUCUUAGUUGGGGCAACUAAAAAAUAUAUUAAACUUUUUUUUUAAAAAAAAGACCCAUUAUUAAUGAUAAUAUGAAAAAAAUACUCUAGGGAUAACAGCGUAAUAAUUUUUGAUAGAUCUUAUAGACAAAAUAGUUUGCGACCUCGAUGUUGGAUUAGGAUACUUUUUUAAUGAAGAUGUUAAAAAAAGAAGUUUGUUCAACUUUUAAAUUCCUACAUGAUCUGAGUUUAGACCGA
rnacentral:rRNA from 1 species